AUGAUAGCCAUCGUUGCUUCUGAUCGGUGGUGUACUUAUCAUUUGCCAUAUCCUGGAUAGUGGACGAACCAAUUUUAAGUGUUUUCUUUAUAUACACAUACGCACACCUAUACUAACUGUUUCUCUAUGUUAACUGGUACUGCAUGGCAGGGCAGUAAUUGUACUCGAAAAAGAUCAGUGUAGCAAAUAAUUUAAACAAAACCAUAGCAUAAACUCAGACCUACACAAAAAAAAUCAGAGAUUUAAUAUCCUUUUCGCAGCAUUCCUUUACAAGGUUUAUAGCUGUAUAUUUGCUAUUCCUUUGUGGACUGUUUCUUUGUUCUAAGUUCACGAUUGUUUUCGACUUUAAAUAACAUACAUAGGCUUAAUGGUGAAUUGAUCUACUUGGGAUUGUUUUCUGAAAUAACAUUUGUCGGUACUGUGCAUUUGAGAAAUUACUAUGCUGAAUUUAAUAGGCUCUAAUUUGCUGCUUUUGUCUUGGGUUGCUGAUAAGCUGCUUCAUCAAGCUACUAGCAAUUUUCAAUUUUUCAUGCAGAGCUAAUGUUUAUGAACUUAAGCUCCUGAUCACAUCAGUUUACUGCAGAAAACUACCUUCCAAAAGCCUUACUUGAAAUCAAGAGCGUCGACGUGUUUUAAUUAUAAUUCUCGCUUCUGCAAUUGUUUGGGUUCGUCCCUUUUCCUCAAACUACUGUAGGAAUGAGGGGUUGAUAAGAAAUCAAGCAAUGUUGCCUCGGAGCCAAACUCAAAGCGUGUGUCACCAAAGGCUUCAAGUGACCAUCCUGAUGAUGAAAGAGGGACUGACAAGAGGAAUGGUUUGAAGGCAAGG
rnacentral:lncRNA from 1 species